rnacentral:rRNA from 1 species
CCUACGGGCUGCAGCAGUGGGGAAUAUUGGACAAUGGGGGCAACCCUGAUCCAGCAAUGCCGCGUGUGUGAAGAAGGCCUGAGGGUUGUAAAGCACUUUCAGUGGGGAGGAGGAUUGAUAGGUUAAGAGCUAAUUGAUUGGACGUUACCCACAGAAGAAGCACCGGCUAACUCCGUGCCAGCAGCCGCGGUAAUACGGAGGGUGCGAGCGUUAAUCGGAAUUACUGGGCGUAAAGGGUGCGUAGGUGGUUAUAUAAGUUAUCUGUGAAAUCCCUGGGCUCAACCUGGGCAGGUCAGAUAAUACUGUAUGACUCGAGUAUGGGAGAGGGUAGUGGAAUUUCCGGUGUAGCGGUGAAAUGCGUAGAGAUCGGAAGGAACACCAGUGGCGAAGGCGGCUACCUGGCCUAAUACUGACACUGAGGCACGAAAGCGUGGGGAGCAAACAGGAUUAGAUACCCCAGUAGUC